rnacentral:rRNA from 1 species
UUGGAGGGCAAGUCUGGUGCCAGCAGCCGCGGUAAUUCCAGCUCCAAUAGCGUAUAUUAAAGUUGUUGCAGUUAAAAAGCUCGUAGUUGAAUUUCGGGAUCAAUUUAUUGGUCGUGCCAACGGUACGCACUGGUACAAUUGGUUUCUCCCUUCUGACGAAGCAUGAUGUCAUUAAUUUGAUGUCGUGGGGAAUCAGGACUGUUACUUUGAAAAAAUUAGAGUGUUUAAAGCAGGCUUUGGCUUGAAUACAUUAGCAUGGAAUAAUGAAAUAGGACGUUUGAUCUUAUUUCGUUGGUUUCUAAGAUCGACGUAAUGAUUAAUAGGGAUAGUUGGGGGCAUUAGUAUUCAAUUGUCAGAGGUGAAAUUCUUGGAUUUAUUGAAGACUAACUACUGCGAAAGCAUUUGCCAAGGAUGUUUUCAUUAAUCAAGAACGAAAGUUAGGGGAUCGAAGACGAUCAGAUACCGUCGUAGUCUUAACCAUAAACUAUGCCGACUAGGGAUCGGAUGAUGUUAAUUUUUUAAUGGCUCAUUCGGCGCCUUACGGGAAAC